rnacentral:rRNA from 1 species
AGUGAACGCUGGCGGCGUGCCUAAUACAUGCAAGUCGAACGGAGAUUAAGUAGCUUGCUAUUUAAUCUUAGUGGCGCACGGGUGAGUAAUAUAUAGCUAACUUGCCCAUUACUAAGGGACAACAGUUGGAAACGACUGCUAAUACCUUAUACUCCGUAUCUAUAUAAUUAGAUACGGGAAAGUUUUUCGGUAAUGGAUAGGGCUAUAUCGUAUCAGCUAGUUGGUAAGGUAAUGGCUUACCAAGGCUAUGACGCGUAACUGGUGUGAGAGGAUGAUCAGUCACACUGGAACUGAGACACGGUCCAGACUCCUACGGGAGGGAGCAGUAGGGAAUAUUGCUCAAUGGGGGAAACCCUGAAGCAGCAACGCCGCGUGGAGGAUGACACUUUUCGGAGAGUAAACUCCUUUUCUUGGGAAAGAAUUAUGACGGUACCCAAGGAAUAAGCACCGGCUAACUCCGUG